UACGUAGGAUGCAAGCGUUGUCCGGAAUUAUUGGGCGUAAAGAGCUCGUAGGUGGCCUGUCGCGUCGGCUGUGAAAACUCGGGGCUCAACUCCGAGCUUGCAGUCGAUACGGGCAGGCUAGAGUUCGGCAGGGGGAGACUGGAAUUCCUGGUGUAGCGGUGAAAUGCGCAGAGUAUCAGGAGGAACACCGGUGGCGAAGGCGGGUCUCUGGGCCGAUACUGACACUGAGGAGCGAAAGCGUGGGGAGCAAACAGG
rnacentral:rRNA from 1 species